AUUAUUUUGGCAGAUUAGUGCAAUGAGCUUAGAAUUCAUAUAUGUAAUUAUUUUACAAAUAAUA
rnacentral:tRNA from 1 species